rnacentral:rRNA from 1 species
UACGGGGGGGAGCAAGCGUUGUUCGGAUUUACUGGGCGUAAAGGGCGCGUAGGCGGUCAGCACAAGUCAGUUGUGAAAUCUCCGGGCUUAACUCGGAAAGGUCAACUGAUACUGUGCGACUAGAGUGCAGAAGGGGCAACUGGAAUUCUCGGUGUAGCGGUGAAAUGCGUAGAUAUCGAGAGGAACACCUGCGGCGAAGGCGGGUUGCUGGGCUGACACUGACGCUGAUGCGCGAAAGCCAGGGGAGCGAACGGG